rnacentral:lncRNA from 13 species
UUAUUGCUCUUUGGAACUGUCUUUGUUUAAAAUUCCUAAUUUGUGCAUAAAUGUUUUCUUUCAGGGAGAAAUCCAGAAGACAGGGAAAUGAUGUGACAGGUUUAAUUAUAUUUAAGAGAAUACAGAGGAGAUCAAAGCCAAAGAGAUAAAAGCUGCAGUCCUCUGGCCAUGCAUUUAGAACCACUGCCGGACUAGGAAUGUCACAUUAGUGACCAUGUGAGGUGGAUGGUGACUGUGAGGACAGUGUGUGUUCAGGGCAUUGCAACACUGGGCUACAGCCUGAGAACACUGCAGAUGGGAGAAAAAUCUUGGAGCAGUUUCGGUGGUACAGGACAAGGCACAGGAGUGAGACCGUCCCUCCAGAGCCAUCCCUGCUGGUUACUGAAUAGACACCUGAAGGCAACAUCAUAUGGAUAAUUCUGACCUGCAGUAGAUAGCUACUUGCAAACCUUUUUAUGCUGUUAUUCAUCUCCUGAGCCAUCUGGCCCCUGUUUCUGGAUACCUGCAGAUGGAUUAAUAAACCAAUCUAAUAGAGCUGUACAUAUUAAAUAUACAGGAGAAGCAGCUGUUUGGUGUUUGUUGUGAGCUUUCUAUUUUUCCCUAAUGUUUCAGCCAUUGUAGUUUAAAGUUCUAAGGAACAAUUUUCUUCCUCAUCUACUCACAACACAAAAUAAAUUUAUCUCUCAUAAAAGAAGCCUGUCAUUGAAAAGCAAGUUAUAAUCAGCAUAAAUAUAAUUUUCUCCUUGGAGUAGAAAAUUUAGGUUCAGCCUUUGAACAGCACUGUCAGUUCAUCUUAUUAUAAUAUACCCCCCUGACAGCUCCCAUAUUAAUUGCAGCACAUUGCCUGCAGUGUGUUCACUUGGUUGUUUGUUUACUCUUAACUAAGAAUGAAUUUCAGAAAACUUUACUUCCUUGCACAUACAAGUGAGGUUAGAGGGAAACAAAACCUAUUCUUAAAAGACCUCAAACUGUAGAUUAUUAAUUUUAAUAAUCCAACUAGUGCUCUUUGGGAUAGUGCUCAUAAAUUUCUCGAAGUGGGCCUAUAGAGGUUGAUAUAUAAAACAACAGACAAGAAAUAUGUCUGUACACAAAUAAUGAGAAUAGAAACAUUUUUUUUUCUACCAUUAAAAAACAAAAUAAUAUCCUUAGGGUGCCUCUGAGAAAUAUCUGAGGAAAAAAAAAAAAAAAAGGAAAAGGAAAAAAAACAGCACACCACAUAGCCCCUCGUGAAGCCAGGGUUUUUUCAGCUUGAUUAAAUGGCUGUUUCAACUUUCCUCACCUGGUAGCUACUGAUCUAAUUAUACCAGCAUUCAAAAGACAUUUUAAAGAGAAAAGUGCAGAUGUGGGAUCAAAAAUAUAAAAAAAGAAGAGAAUGGCUAACACCAGCAAUUAAAGGCUACAGAGCUGAAACCCAAGUAUGUUAGUUGCGGUAAUUCAGGGUGGUGGGUGGGAAAUAAAAACUAUCUGUGGCAAAAAAACCCCCAACAAACAAACAAACAAUCUCUACUCCACCCCAAACAAAAGCUAAAAUGCUACCUGAGGCCGGGAGUAGGAGUUUGAAGGUAUUUAAAUAAAAAUUUCCACCCCCACCCCCCCAUAUAAGGUCAGCAGCACUUCUCAAAGAUCACAGAACAUGAACUUGCAGUUUUAAAAACUUGCAGAAGUGUCUCUAAUGGGCCUAUACAAAAAUAAAAAAAGACCCUAAACUGCUCAGAUUGUACAACUUUAUUUUUGACUAAAGCCCAUGAAAGGUCAUAAGGAACUUGUAGAUGAGUUAUGGAGUAAAUAGCAAUAAUUCUACAUAUCCAAGGAGAACUCUGUUAUCAAAACCACUACUGCUCAGGCUUUGAACAUUCCCUACAAAAUUUUCAGGGUGAAAACCAACAGCUAUCUCCAGAGCCACAAGUAUAACACAGAUCUCUUUUGCUCCCUGUAUCUCAGUUCUGAAUUCCUUUUUCUCUUUUUCAAGCACAUUAAAGUUAAAUUAAUCAGAACUCCACACUGUGAUAAUCAGAAGCAUCAUACAGAGAAGAUUAUGGAGGCUCAGC